ACAGCAAGGGGCUGGCACUCACCUGAACGCAGAACCGCAGUGGACAGACCAUCUUGUGACCCUGGACACCCUGAUCUCUUCUAGAUACAAUCUCCUGGGACCCUCCCCACGUAUUUAUAGAAACAUACGCAGCAUUGUGAAUUUACAGUCGUGCAUGUACACUCUUGUGCAUAUCCAGUGUCAAUGUACAGUCUUGCCCUUGAAGCGCCAUGCAAACAGAGCAUGAAAUGAAACCGUCACACCCUAUUUCUGAGAGCAGGGAACCCAGCGGCCAUUCUGGUUCCACCAGCAGUCACCUGAAGGCAACUUACUCUUAAGACUAGGAAAGGCCAGAGCUGCAUAGCUGCUUUCAAGGGCUCGAAAGGUUGAGUUCCUCUGUUUCCCUGGCCUCUGCUCGUUUGUCUUGUGACUACUCAGAAAUGAAGACGGCAAUCCAUCUGUGUCAACUCUGAAAAGAGAUGCCCAGAUCCAGCACUGAGGAGCACCCUCAUCUGAUAGAACCAUUUGAUAGAUUUUCCUGCUUUGCCUACUUGACUAUGCAACUAAAAAGUGUCAAACCACACCUCCUGUCUGCCACACACAUCUGUAAUCCCUGGUGCCACUCCAGGCACCGAAAGGGACUGCCAGCUGCUGUGCUGGACAUACAUGUCUACUUUCCCCUCCGUCUCUCCCCUCUCCUUUUCAUGUGACACGCUCAUCCCUCUGACUCCGUCAUCACCAUCCCAGGAGAAAUGAUUACCGCUUUUAAAUUGAGAUAUUUUUAACUAAUAA
rnacentral:lncRNA from 1 species